GUGCUCGCUUCUGCAGCACAUAAACUAAAAUUGGAACGAUGCAGAGGAGAUUAGCAUGGCCCCUGUGCAAGGAUGACACACAAAUUCAUGAAGUUUUACAUAUUUUU